UGCGAGUCAUUGUAGUAAUACAAGGCAGACGGCUCAGUAACGCGUAGUCAACCUACCCUAUGGACGGGAAUAACCUCGGGAAACUGAGUAUAAUGCCCGAUAGAGCACUAUACCUGGAAUGGUUUGUGUUCCAAAUGAAUGUCGCCGUAGGAUGGGACUGCGGCCUAUCAGUUUGUUGGUGAGGUAAUGGCCCACCAAGACUAUUACAGGUACGGGCUCUGAGAGGAGUAGCCCGGAGAUGGGUACUGAGACACGGACCCAGGCCCUAUGGGGCGCAGCAGGCGAGAAAACUUUGCAAUGUGCGAAAGCACGACAAGGUUAAUCCGAGUGGUUUGUGCUAAACGAACCUUUUGACAGUCCUAGAAACACUGUUGAAUAAGGGGUGGGCAAGUUCUGGUGUCAGCCGCCGCGGUAAAACCAGCACCUCAAGUGGUCAGGAUGAUUAUUGGGCCUAAAGCAUCCGUAGCCGGCUCUGUAAGUUUUCGGUUAAAUCUGUACGCUCAACGUACAGGCUGCCGGGAAUACUGCAGAGCUAGGGAGUGGGAGAGGUAGACGGUACUCGGUAGGAAGGGGUAAAAUCCUUUGAUCUAUUGAUGACCACCUGUGGCGAAGGCGGUCUACCAGAACACGUCCGACGGUGAGGGAUGAAAGCUGGGGGAGCAAACCGGAUUAGAUACCCGGGUAGUCCCAGCUGUAAACUAUGCAAACUCAGUGAUGCAUUGGCUUGUGGCCAAUGCAGUGCUGCAGGGAAGCCGUUAAGUUUGCCGCCUGGGAAGUACGUACGCAAGUAUGAAACUUAAAGGA
rnacentral:rRNA from 1 species